GUUAUACUGGAUCGGCCAUGACGUCCUGCUGCUAUCGCAUAGCUUUAACUUUAGCUAACCGUGAGGUUUCCUCAGAGGAUGGCACAAGAAAUUGCCAAUAGGUGCAGGAAGACUUAAGUUCUGAGACUCUUGUAAACAGAGGCUACAUAAUAUUGCAACUGGAGAAAGGGAGCAAUUCCAGCUUUCCAGGUGACAGCAUGACAGCAGUUCCAGCUCUCAGAGGAACAGCACAGGAGCAGCUCCAGCUCUCAGAGGAACAGCAGAGGAGAAGUUCCAGCUCUCAGAGGAGCAGCACAGGAGCAGCUCCAGCUCUCAGAGUUACAGCACGGAAGCGGACAUAAUCUAUAAACAUUAAGCUGUGACAGCUUGCCAGAACUUCUCUGCAAGGACCUACUGAUGGAGUUUUUCCAAAGAGACUUCAUAAAAGCAGCAAUCUCCAGGACCCUACAGUUGCCAGCUGCAGCAGUUGUUUCCCCA